AUGGACGCCCCGGACGUGACGCCGGCGUGGUCUCUGGUCCGCGGCUACUUCUCCCCGGCGACGCUCUUCCUCCUCCUCAACGUCGUCAUCGGCACCAUCGCGCUCACCUCCCGCUCCCACCGCCGCCGCCACGACCACCACGCCGACGACGACCGCCACCGCCACCAGCACCAGCACAAGGACCACGACGACCGGUACGCUCCUCCCCCGCCUCCGGCCCCGCUGGCGCGCACGUCGUCCGUGAUGGAGCGCCUGCGCUCCCUCGGCCUCUACCGCUUCCGCUCCGGCGACUUCCCUCCCGAGUACAACUACAACUCUUCCUCCGCCGGCAACGUCGGCGAGGACGACGACGAGGGCGGCAAGCAGCAGCAGUACAGCAGGAGCCGGUCUGAGCCGGCCGCGAGGAAGCCGGCGAGCAAGACGGGCAACGAGGCGGAGAAGGCGGCCAGGGCGAAGGUGGCGAAGAAGCCGGUAACGGAGACGGAGGUGAGGAGGCUGGAGCGCGCCCCGGUGCCGGCGCCGGCGCGGCUGGUGCAGCGCGCGCCGAGGGCCCCUGCGGCUCGCGCGGUGCUGACGGAGGCGAGGCGGCAGGACGCAGGGGCGCCGGAGGCCGCGUGCGUGGACGAGAGGGCGGACGACUUCAUCAACAAGUUCCGGCAGCAGCUGCAGCUGCAGAGGCUCAACUCGCUGCUCAACUACAAGGAGAUGCUCAACCGCGGCGCGUAG
rnacentral:rRNA from 1 species